rnacentral:lncRNA from 1 species
UUUUUUUUUUUUCAUAUUGCACUGAAAAGGGCAGAACUACUGCAGCAGCAACAUUUGGGGGAUAUCAGACAAACCCCAUCCGCUCUGUUCUCCAGAAUCAGCAAAGCAAUUUGUGAGCACUUUGUUAAUUUGGCAUUUUUUAUUGCUCUAGAGUCCCUUUCUUGUCUCCCAGGUGACCUGUGGUGAACCAGAUCCCCCAGACGUGCUCCAGUGCAAGCAGGAAUCCUGGAGUGCACUGGAUUUGCAGCAGGAUGAAGGAGCCUCUCACCUUCCUCUGUGAGCAAGUCACUGCUCUUAUUUAGAGUCCCAGGGUAUCACCAAGCAUGUUUAUGUCUUCAAGUGACACUUGUGACUCUGUGGUUGUCCUUAUUUCUCUUCAAACAGAUCAAAAGGCUGACAGUAAGAGCACACAGAGAGAAGCACGAGAGUUCUAAAAGCUGCUUUUGCAAGCCCAGAUGUGAAAGCGUGGUGCAUAAUCUCUCCUGUUAACUUCUGUUUCUCUAAUAGAAAGGAGAAGGAAGGACAAUCCCAUUUUAUUUUAGUGGAUACAGAAGUACUACAGUUGUGCAUGAGCGUUCCUUGGGAUAUGGAAAAGGACUUUCAGUUCCCUUCAGGUAAAGUGAUUUUCCUGAGACAAAUCAGACUUUCUGUGCUGUUCUGACAUUCCUGGGUGAAGGGCCUUUGCUGAUUUUUAGGAGAUAAGGGCACAUAUAAAUGUUCUUCUGUUGCUUGCAGGACGAAGGCCUGUGCUGUACCUUUAUAUUCAGGAAAGAAACUGAGCUAUCAGUGCAAUUAUUAUUUAUCUGCAUUUGUUUUCAGAGAUUAUCCAGUCUUCUUUGAGUCAAUGGCAAGAAAUAUGAGAUUAAAGUCUUUCUGUGCAAACAAUCAGUAAUAUUUCCCACUGGUUGCUUUUUUCAUCUAAAUAUGUAUUUCCUUGGUAGUAACAAGAACAAACAAAAU